rnacentral:rRNA from 1 species
GAUGAACGCUGGCGGCGUGCCUAAUACAUGCAAGUCGAGCGAACGGACGAGAAGCUUGCUUCUCUGAUGUUAGCGGCGGACGGGUGAGUAACACGUGGAUAACCUACCUAUAAGACUGGGAUAACUUCGGGAAACCGUAGCUAAUACCGGAUAAUAUUUUGAACCGCAUGGUUCAAAAGUGAAAGACGGUCUUGCUGUCACUUAUAGAUGGAUCCGCGCUGCAUUAGCUAGUUGGUAAGGUAACGGCUUACCAAGGCAACGAUGCAUAGCCGACCUGAGAGGGUGAUCGGCCACACUGGAACUGAGACACGGUCCAGACUCCUACGGGAGGCAGCAGUAGGGAAUCUUCCGCAAUGGGCGAAAGCCUGACGGAGCAACGCCGCGUGAGUGAUGAAGGUCUUCGGAUCGUAAAACUCUGUUAUUAGGGAAGAACAUAUGUGUAAGUAACUGUGCACAUCUUGACGGUACCUAAUCAGAAAGCCACGGCUAACUACGUGCCAGCAGCCGCGGUAAUACGUAGGUGGCAAGCGUUAUCCGGAAUUAUUGGGCGUAAAGCGCGCGUAGGCGGUUUUUUAAGUCUGAUGUGAAAGCCCACGGCUCAACCGUGGAGGGUCAUUGGAAACUGGAAAACUUGAGUGCAGAAGAGGAAAGUGGAAUUCCAUGUGUAGCGGUGAAAUGCGCAGAGAUAUGGAGGAACACCAGUGGCGAAGGCGACUUUCUGGUCUGUAACUGACGCUGAUGUGCGAAAGCGUGGGGAUCAAACAGGAUUAGAUACCCUGGUAGUCCACGCCGUAAACGAUGAGUGCUAAGUGUUAGGGGGUUUCCGCCCCUUAGUGCUGCAGCUAACGCAUUAAGCACUCCGCCUGGGGAGUACGACCGCAAGGUUGAAACUCAAAGGAAUUGACGGGGACCCGCACAAGCGGUGGAGCAUGUGGUUUAAUUCGAAGCAACGCGAAGAACCUUACCAAAUCUUGACAUCCUUUGACAACUCUAGAGAUAGAGCCUUCCCCUUCGGGGGACAAAGUGACAGGUGGUGCAUGGUUGUCGUCAGCUCGUGUCGUGGGAUGUUGGGUUAAGUCCCGCAACGAGCGCAACCCUUAAGCUUAGUUGCCAUCAUUAAGUUGGGCACUCUAAGUUGACUGCCGGUGACAAACCGGAGGAAGGUGGGGAUGACGUCAAAUCAUCAUGCCCCUUAUGAUUUGGGCUACACACGUGCUACAAUGGACAAUACAAAGGGCAGCGAAACCGCGAGGUCAAGCAAAUCCCAUAAAGUUGUUCUCAGUUCGGAUUGUAGUCUGCAACUCGACUACAUGAAGCUGGAAUCGCUAGUAAUCGUAGAUCAGCAUGCUACGGUGAAUACGUUCCCGGGUCU